GGAAAAGAAAAUAACAAUGAUUUCCCUAGUAACGGCGAGUGAACAGGAAAGAGCUCAAAGUUGGAACCUGUUUGGUUUAGCCAAACCGGAUUGUAAACUGUAGAAGUGUUUUCCUGACACGCCUGACGAAAAAGUCCAUUGGAACAUGGUGACAUAGAGGGUGAGAGCCCCGUAUUUUGUCAGAGCUGUUGUCUCUUGUGAUACACUUUCAAAGAGUCAGGUUGUUUGGGAAUGCAGCCUAAAUUGGGUGGUAAAUCUCACCUAAAGCUAAAUAUUGGCAAAAGACCGAUAGCGAACAAGUACCGUGAGGGAAAGAUGAAAAGAACUUUGAAAAGAGAGUUAAACAGUAUGUGAAAUUGUUAAAAGGGAACCGUUUGGAGCCAGACUGGCUUGAUUGUAAUCAAUCUAGAUCUCGAUCUGGAUGCACUUGCAGUCUAUGCCUGCCAACGACAAUUCAUUCUGGAGGAAAAAACUAAGUGGAAUGUGGCCCCUCGGGGUGUUAUAGACUCUUAGAAAAUACUCUGGUUUGGAUUGAGGAACGCAGUGAAUGCUAUUUGGCGAAGAUGCUGGGUGCUUUUAUUUUUGUUGUCUAGAAUUUCUGCUUCGGGUGGUGCUAGAUACCACGAGUAAAACUCGCCUAGUAUACUUUUUAUUCACUUAGGUUGUUGGCUUAAUGACUCU
rnacentral:rRNA from 1 species